GAUGAAGAACGCAGCGAAAUGCGAUAAGUAAUGUGAAUUGCAGAAUUCAGUGAAUCAUCGAAUCUUUGAACGCACAUUGCGCCCCCUGGUAUUCCGGGGGGCAUGCCUGUUCGAGCGUUAUUUCACCACUCAAGCCUCGCUUGGUAUUGGGCAACGCGGUCCGCCGCGUGCCUCAAAUCGACCGGCUGGGUCUUCUGUCCCCUAAGCGUUGUGGAAACUAUUCGCUAAAGGGUGUUCGGGAGGCUACGCCGUAAAACAACCCCAUUUCUAAGGUUGACCUCGGAUCAGGUAGGGAUACCCGCUGAACUUAAGCAUAUCAAUAAGCGGAGGA
rnacentral:misc_RNA from 1 species